GGCCCGUUCGUCUAGAGGUUCAGGAUACCGGCCCCUCAAGCCGGUGACGCGGGUUCAAAUCCCGCACGGGUCA
rnacentral:tRNA from 1 species